GAUGAACGCUGGCGGCGUGCCUAAUACAUGCAAGUCGAGCGAACGGACGAGAAGCUUGCUUCUCUGAUGUUAGCGGCGGACGGGUGAGUAACACGUGGAUAACCUACCUAUAAGACUGGGAUAACUUCGGGAAACCGGAGCUAAUACCGGAUAAUAUUUUGAACCGCAUGGUUCAAAAGUGAAAGACGGUCUUGCUGUCACUUAUAGAUGGAUCCGCGCUGCAUUAGCUAGUUGGUAAGGUAACGGCUUACCAAGGCAACGAUGCAUAGCCGACCUGAGAGGGUGAUCGGCCACACUGGAACUGAGACACGGUCCAGACUCCUACGGGAGGCAGCAGUAGGGAAUCUUCCGCAAUGGGCGAAAGCCUGACGGAGCAACGCCGCGUGAGUGAUGAAGGUCUUCGGAUCGUAAAACUCUGUUAUUAGGGAAGAACAUAUGUGUAAGUAACUGUGCACAUCUUGACGGUACCUAAUCAGAAAGCCACGGCUAACUACGUGCCAGCAGCCGCGGUAAUACGUAGGUGGCAAGCGUUAUCCGGAAUUAUUGGGCGUAAAGCGCGCGUAGGCGGUUUUUUAAGUCUGAUGUGAAAGCCCACGGCUCAACCGUGGAGGGUCAUUGGAAACUGGAAAACUUGGGUGCAGAAGAGGAAAGUGGAAUUCCAUGUGUAGCGGUGAAAUGCGCAGAGAUAUGGAGGAACACCAGUGGCGAAGGCGACUUUCUGGUCUGUAACUGACGCUGAUGUGCGAAAGCGUGGGGAUCAAACAGGAUUAGAUACCCUGGUAGUCCACGCCGUAAACGAUGAGUGCUAAGUGUUAGGGGGUUUCCGCCCCUUAGUGCUGCAGCUAACGCAUUAAGCACUCCGCCUGGGGAGUACGACCGCAAGGUUGAAACUCAAAGGAAUUGACGGGGACCCGCACAAGCGGUGGAGCAUGUGGUUUAAUUCGAAGCAACGCGAAGAACCUUACCAAAUCUUGACAUCCUUUGACAACUCUAGAGAUAGAGCUUUCCCCUUCGGGGGACAAAGUGACAGGUGGUGCAUGGUUGUCGUCAGCUCGUGUCGUGAGAUGUUGGGUUAAGUCCCGCAACGAGCGCAACCCUUAAGCUUAGUUGCCAUCAUUAAGCUGGGCACUCUAAGUUGACUGCCGGUGACAAACCGGAGGAAGGUGGGGAUGACGUCAAAUCAUCAUGCCCCUUAUGAUUUGGGCUACACACGUGCUACAAUGGACAAUACAAAGGGCAGCGAAACCGCGAGGUCAAGCAAAUCCCAUAAAGUUGUUCUCAGUUCGGAUUGUAGUCUGCAACUCGACUACAUGAAGCUGGAAUCGCUAGUAAUCGUAGAUCAGCAUGCUACGGUGAAUACGUUCCCGGGUCU
rnacentral:rRNA from 1 species